AACCCCAACCCCCCAAUUCCCAAAAAUUUCCAGCGGGAGAGGGUGCAGCCGGAGAAAUUGGCCGUGGACCGACCCUCGGAGAAGCUCCUGGGCUUCCUCAGGAAACAUUUCGGGCUCUGCAACCUCAUCCCUCAGGUGAACAAUUUCGUCAUCUUUGAGGGGUUCUUCUCCACCAGGAGCGCCCCCGCCCGGCGCCCGUUCCCGCGGCCGCGCCC